GGAAUAUUGUAUUAUUGUCAGAUCUGGUUGACAUGUUGGUUGGUUUUCCUGAAAACUUGCUUUUUUCCCCUUUGUUAUAAGGAAUUACCCACUGGCUAAGAGAGGGGGGAGGAUAUUUUUAGAAAUGAAAGUAAUAUUAAAUUUCUUUAAAUCACUAACAUUUAACAAAUAGUAAAAAUAAAGGUAAAGUGUUCUUAUUCUUAUUCUUUGGCCCUGAAGGCACUGCCAAGGAGACCCAAGCUGACACACCAAGUUCUUAAGCCAGGAAUUAAGCUGUAGAAAAGCCUGGGAGUGAGCUGGAACGCCUAAUUUGGUCCUCCUCAGCAAAAAAAGUCUCUCCAUGAAGAUGGUCUUCUCCAUACCAGAAAUGACUCCCUUCCCCUAGAUUUCCCUGUGGACAAUGAUUGUGACCUCAUCUCAGGUGUAACACAUUGGAAAAGAGAUGGAAUACCAUCCACUGCCUGGGCAGGGACAUUUGAUCAAGGCUCCCUGGGGCUUCAUCCCUGAUCAAUACAUGGGAAAACAGAAAAACAACCCCCAAACUGAAUGACCGAGCCUUCCCUCCCAGCCACACUCCCUACUUCAGAGCUGCUCUGGGCACAUACUCAGGGCUGCUCUGGGGCCGUUGCCCUCUCCUGACAUUUGGAGAGAGGAGCUGGGAAGAAGAAGGAGGGGAUAAGGAAAUGAAUGCUGCCAGAAGGGCUGCCCCAAUCUGUGAUCUAUGACCACUGUGGGAUGCCCAGACUAUGGCAUUUAGACCUAUGAUGGCCCAAGUGAUGCUGAGGUCACUUAGGACCCUGGAAGCCUCAACCUAGGGAAGAAGGAACUUCUAUAGAUUACAUUCAAUUGAAUAAAUAAUUUCAGUAAACUCUGUCA
rnacentral:lncRNA from 1 species